rnacentral:tRNA from 1 species
GUAUAGAUAGACUAAAUAUAAGUCUUUAGAUUCAUAAUCUAAUAAUGUAUGAAUUACUCUAUAUU